AUACGGAGGAUCCGAGCGUUAUCCGGAUUUAUUGGGUUUAAAGGGAGCGUAGGUGGACAGUUAAGUCAGUUGUGAAAGUUUGCGGCUCAACCGUAAAAUUGCAGUUGAAACUGGCAGUCUUGAGUACAGUAGAGGUGGGCGGAAUUCGUGGUGUAGCGGUGAAAUGCUUAGAUAUCACGAAGAACUCCGAUUGCGAAGGCAGCUCACUAGACUGUUACUGACACUGAUGCUCGAAAGUCUGGGUAUCAAACAGGAUUAGAUACCCUGGUAGUCCACACAGUAAACGAUGAAUACUCGCUGUGUGCGAUAUACAGUAAGCGGCCAAGCGAAAGCAUUAAGUAUUCCACCUGGGGCGUACGCCGGCAACGGUGAAGCUUAAAGGAAUGGACGGGG
rnacentral:rRNA from 1 species